rnacentral:rRNA from 1 species
UACGGGAGGCAGCAGUGGGGAAUAUUGCACAAUGGGCGCAAGCCUGAUGCAGCCAUGCCGCGUGUAUGAAGAAGGCCUUCGGGUUGUAAAGUACUUUCAGUCGUGAGGAAGGUGUUAAGGUUAAUAACCUUAGCAAUUGACGUUAGCGACAGAAGAAGCACCGGCUAACUCCGUGCCAGCAGCCGCGGUAAUACGGAGGGUGCGAGCGUUAAUCGGAAUUACUGGGCGUAAAGGGCACGCAGGCGGUUAAUUAAGUUGGAUGUGAAAUCCCCGGGCUUAACCUGGGAAUGGCAUUCAAGACUGGUUAGCUAGAGUCUUGUAGAGGGGGUAGAAUUCCAUGUGUAGCGGUGAAAUGCGUAGAGAUGUGGAGGAAUACCGGUGGCGAAGGCGGCCCCUGGACAAGACUGACGCUCAUGUGCGAAAGCGUGGGGAGCAAACAGGGAUUAGAUACC